rnacentral:RNase_P_RNA from 1 species
GAGGAAAGUCCGGGCUUCUUAGGACGCGGUGGUGGGUAACGCCCACCGGUUUCGCCGAGGAAAACGCCUUCGGGUAAUGACGAGCCUCGGUUGGAAUUAGGGAAAGUGCAACAGAAAGAAUACCGCCCUGGGGGCAACCCCAAGGUAAGGGUGAAAUGGUGGGGGAGCUUGCUCCUUAAUGUAAGAGCCCACCAGCGAUUGGGUGACCAAUCGGCUCGGCAAACCCCACCGGAAGCAAGACCAAAUAUGGGAGCAGGACUGGUCCGGUCCGUUACGACUCUCGGGUAGGUUGCUAGAUCAGGCGAGCAAUCGUCUGGGUAGAUAAAUGAUCGUUACGGUGGUCUCCACCGACAGAAUCCGGCUUA